CACAACCCCUUUAGGUGAGGUAGCAAUUCUCUUGCACUUGUGCCAAUCUGACUGUGGUGGGAGUCCAUGUGGUCUUCUUUAUACUGGAAGUCAAACAUAAGUUUGGUGAUAUCCUGCAGGGGAUGUCACUUUAAUUCUCUAUUCUACUCUCCCUGUCUGUCUGUGACCUGUUUUGUAAUGAUGUAAAAUAAAUGCGUGAGGAACAACAUUUCAUCAUCUGGCUGAGCAAACUGUGACGUUCCAGAGUUCUCUUGCUGCAGGUGACCCAUUUCCACUCUCAGGCCAUUUCUGUUCAAUGUGAUCCACCUGUGUCCAAGUUUUCUCUCUAGCUUGAGUUGAUCUUCUGGGCAUAUCCUACAAUUCUGCACUUCACAACUUUUAAAUUCCUCUGUGUUCUUACUUUCUAUUUAUCCUUAUUUGACAACUUUUAUGUUAGGGGUUUCAAACCUAUUUUAUAUCAUGGAGCCUUUACUAAUAACAGAUCCCAUGUUGGGAACGCCUGCUUUAUGUACUUUUGUUAGGUUCUCUCUCUCCAAAUGCCUCUGUUAAUCAAUGGUCUGAUGACCUUGUUCACAGCUUCUUUGCAUUGAAACCCUGGCAAUGCCUUUUCAAGAAUAUACCUUUUGUCCGUUCUGACUUCCCACACCUUUUCUGUGACUGAAAACCCACUUGCUCUCUCUUUUUCCCAGAUGUGACAAAGGGUCUACCGCCUGAAAUGCUAACACUAUUUCUUUUUCCACAGGUGCUCCUAGAGCUGUGUAUGUUUGCCCAUUUUUUAUUGUUAGUAGGAGCCUGUGCUACACUCAGUGUUUACCCCUAACAAAAGCCUUGGUCAAAGUUACACUUUUGCUUUAAUGCAUCAUGAAAUGUACUGUGAUAAUGCGGCAUUCACACAAAAUGGCAGCCAUCAGGAAGGAGAGCAGGUGGAGUGCAAAAUGACAGCAAUUCCAUUUUGAUUCUACACCAACUUUGAAGCUUAACAUCUAAAGAGUAGGUUUUAAAACCUGCUCCCCUUUUUCUUUCUCCUUUUUUCUUCUUCAAUAGUUCCUGAAGUUGAGGAAACUUUCUGUAAUGAGUUCUUUAAGCCUGUGUGGGGUGCCAGAGUGCACUGGGCUCCGAGGUUGUAGGAGUACCUAAAAUGGAUAAUUGUUGCUUAAUGACAGUCAUAAAUCGUCUAGAGUUCACUGUUUUUCUUGAGCGACUUGCUCUUUGCAAUGCGGUCUCCUGGUACCUUGUGUUUAAGCUUGUUAAGUUUAUUUUGCCAGGGUCAAGGAUUCUGUGUAACUUGUAUUUUUUAGGCAGAUGCUCAAUUAGUGCUAAUCACAGGGUCCUAGUUUUGAGAAUGUUACUUUUCGCAGUGUCAGUCAGCUGAGCCAUUGAUGUUCUUUAGGAAUGUUUAUGAAUAAACCCUCAUCUCUACAUGAGAACCUGUCAUUCCUCUGCAUUUGGGUUCCAAUAUUGGCAGUGCGCAUCAUGACACAUUCACUCCAGUUUUGGAAUGUGCCAACGUAAGGGGCCCUGAGGGGAUGUUAGCAUGCAUCAAAAACAAGUGAGGCAGAAUGUAGGUCAACAGUGAUCCGAAAGUGCUGUAUGCCGUGAUGGGAGAUAGGAAUAGCUGAGAAGGAUUUAAAUUUAGUGAGGAGGGUGACCGGGCAGUUGUGGCAUUAGGAAUAAAAUCACCUGGCACUCGCGUAGGCCAUUGGACUGGGGUGAUAUGCCACGGUGUGAUCUAUCCUAACACCAAGGUUCUGUACCAUUGCAGCCGAGAGGUCUAAUAUGAAUUUGGGACCACGGUUAGAGGACAUAACAGAUGGGGUGCCAAACCGAGCAAGCCAGGUUCUGAUGAAGGCUCGAGCCACAUCUGCGGCCUUCAUCGAUGCUAGAGGAUCAACUUCUGGUCACCUGGUGGCACAGUGCAUCAUGGUAAGGAGUGAGAAGUCCUGCAUCCAGACAUUACAUUUCUCUUGCAUCAGACAGCGGAGACCUCCUUUCCCACCAUCAAGAUGGGAUUGUUUAAAGAUCUGUCCUCUAUUCACAAGCUUCUAACUUCCCUGAAUGUGCCACAAAAAAAUGGAUACUUUUAAAAUGAGAGAAGUGCAACUUCUUGCAAAACUCUCAGGCAGAUGAAAGACAAUGAGCAACUACUGAAAAUGCAGCCUACAACCACAGUGAGAAGUUCAAGCCAUCAGACUCCAGAUCAUGACCUGAAUCUCAUCUCUCAUCCAGAAAUGUUACUGACCAACCAAACACAUUUCUUAAAAUACAGAUUGGCUGAUCCUGUUCUGCCUGGACACUUUAAGCAAAUAGUGAGCUUUUAUAAAACAUUAAUUCUGUCACAAAUGGAGUAUUGUGCCCAACUAUUGGUCUAGAUUUUAGAAGUGAUGUGUAGGCUUAAGGGAGGGAUUUAGAAAAGAUUCCAGGGAAAGGUACUUCAGUUGUUUGAAUAGACUGUUAGCACUCACAAUGUUCUCCUUGAGACUGAGGAUCUGAUAGAGAUAUUUACCAUCAUGAAGCUACAGCCAAGAGAGAGAAAUUAUGCUGAUUGGUGGAGAAAUAGUGGGGAUGGAUUGCAGGAGAAUGGCAAAUGAAUUAUGAGGACAUGAGGAUUCUAUUUAUAUAAUGCAGAUGGAUCAUUUCUGGAAUGAUUCAAAGCAAACUAUUUGACAGAAGAAUUUGUAGGUCCGCGGGGUGAGGAUGGGGUAGUUGUGCAUGAGGGAUCGUUCUUAUUUAGAGAUGCUAUAGAUUUGACAGGCCAAAUAGUCACCUUCUGCAACUGCUCUAUUGUUCUCUGACUUAAUAGGUAUCUACCAGUGUUGGUAGAGACAUUGUCUAUGAUACAUUCCAUUAGAUUUCAUUACACACCGACUUGGGCACUCAAGUCAGAGAAGACAAGACUCCUUGAACAAGGCAGACACAAUUGAAGGGCCCCUGACCUCUGUUUCGGACGCAUACAGAGCUACGAGGUUCAACCAGUCUCCAGCAAUACACGUCAAGGAAAUAAAGAUGUCAACAUCUCUUUGCUUUCCCCACUUCUAUACACCAGCCCCACAAAUCCAGACAUGCUUUGUCCAGUAGUCACUGUUCAGCAUUGAUCCAUGUACUGAUUGAAAAUUGUUCCAAAAGUCGCUUCUGCCAUGCUGGCUAAUGAUGGGCUUGCUUGAAGUGUGUGGUCACCUUUCUAUGGAGGCAUUGCUUUUUGGUCCCAGGUCACGUGCUGUGAUAGCUGCAGCUAGCUUCUGAUCUUCAGGUGCAUAAAGAUGAACGUAUGUUCGCAAGUCUCCCUCUUGACCCCGAGCCACUCCAGGCUGUGAGCCACGGGCAGCAUUGGACAAACUGCUUGGAAGGUGUGUUACAGUUAACAGGGGGAGGGACUUGUGUUUCGAGUGCACACCUAGUUAAGUAGAUCAUCACUUGUUUAAUCUUGUUGGACAGAUUUAACAAGUCUAUUGAAUGUUUAGUGUUGUAGUUGCUAUAGUUUGGGUGACUUGGAUGAGCACUUGUUGGACUUGCAUGUGAGUAAAGUGUUUUGUUGCUUGUUUGUGAAUAAACAGUUGCUGUACA